rnacentral:snoRNA from 1 species
UGAAAUGAUGAUCAAUUUUUUUUAAAUAUAUAACUUUCGUUCUACCGAUUGCGAUCAAACGAUCUUGUGGAGAAACUUUUUAACUGAUU